rnacentral:rRNA from 2 species
CAUUCACGGAGAGUUUGAUCCUGGCUCAGGACGAACGCUGGCGGCGUGCUUAACACAUGCAAGUCGAACGAUGAACCACUUCGGUGGGGAUU